GGUUCGAUGGUGUAGUUGGUUAUCACGUCUGUCUCACACUGUCCGCUUGGGUAUAAGCGAGUGGGUUCACAGGAGGUCUCCGGUUCGAACCCGGGUCGAACCA